UUAUGAUUUAUAUUUAAAUCUGUAAUUUAUAUAUUGUUCAUAUCAGUUACUUUGUAUAUGCAAUGCUAUAUAAGAUUCAUAUUUGUAACUUUUAGUGGCCUGUAUGAAGAAUUUCCCUGACCAGACGGAGGCAUCGAUAGAGAGAUGCAUAGGCGACGCGCUCAAGUUUUCUCCACACAGACGGUUAGUUGGUCAGAUUAAGCAGGAGUAAGACCACACACCAUAGCACCACUGUCAACACAUCAAUAUCCCGAUGCACCAAUCGCCUUCUUUUUUGUAAUAGUUUUAUUUUACUUUUUUACUAUUAUAUAAUUUUCCUCCCUGUCUGUCAUGUUUUUGCAUGUGUUCUAUUAGUCUAUUUAGUGCAUUGUACACAGUAUGGGGAUGUUGUAUUGCUGCAUCUGGUAUUUUGUGACACACUUUUGUUUAUUAAAAUGUCAUCAGGCAUUUUAUUAAAUGUGUAUUUUCUACCUA